rnacentral:rRNA from 1 species
GUCUAUGGCCAUGCCAACCUGAACAUGCCCAACCUUGUCUGAUCUCUGAAGCUAAGCAGGGUCAAGCCUGGUUAGUACUUGGAUGGGAGACCACCUUGGAAUACCAGGCACUGUAGGCG